rnacentral:rRNA from 1 species
UAUUUGGAGAGUUUGAUCCUGGCUCAGAACGAACGCUGGCGGCGUGCUUAACACAUGCAAGUCGAACGAGAAAGUCCGCAAGGAUGAGUACAGUGGCGACCGGGUGCGUAACACGUAGGUAA